AUGAGGCGAACCGGGGGAACUGAAACAUCUAAGUACCCCGAGGAAAAGAAAUCAACCGAGAUUCCCCCAGUAGCGGCGAGCGAACGGGGAGGAGCCCAGAGCCUGAAUCAGCAUGUGUGUUAGUGGAAGCGUCUGGAAAGGCGCGCGAUACAGGGUGACAGCCCCGUACACAAAAGCGCAUGUGCUGUGAGCUCGAUGAGUAGGGCGGGACACGUGGUAUCCUGUCUGAAUAUGGGGGGACCAUCCUCCAAGGCUAAAUACUCCUGACUGACCGAUAGUGAACCAGUACCGUGAGGGAAAGGCGAAAAGAACCCCGGCGAGGGGAGUGAAAAAGAACCUGAAACCGUGUACGUACAAGCAGUGGGAGCACCCUUUUGGGUGUGACUGCGUACCUUUUGUAUAAUGGGUCAGCGACUUAUAUUCUGUAGCAAGGUUAACCGAAUAGGGGAGCCGGAGGGAAACCGAGUCUUAAUUGGGCGUUAAGUUGCAGGGUAUAGACCCGAAACCCGGUGAUCUAGCCAUGGGCAGGUUGAAGGUUGGGUAACACUAACUGGAGGACCGAACCGACUAAUGUUGAAAAAUUAGCGGAUGACCUGUGGCUGGGGGUGAAAGGCCAAUCAAACCGGGAGAUAGCUGGUUCUCCCCGAAAGCUAUUUAGGUAGCGCCUCGUGAAUUCAUCUCCGGGGGUAGAGCACUGUUUCGGCUAGGGGGCCAUCCCGGCUUACCAACCCGAUGCAAACUGCGAAUACCGGAGAAUGUUAUCACGGGAGACACACGGCGGGUGCUAACGUCCGUCGUGAAGAGGGAAACAACCCAGACCGCCAGCUAAGGUCCCAAAGUCAUGGUUAAGUGGGAAACGAUGUGGGAAGGCCCAGACAGCCAGGAUGUUGGCUUAGAAGCAGCCAUCAUUUAAAGAAAGCGUAAUAGCUCACUGGUCGAGUCGGCCUGCGCGGAAGAUGUAACGGGGCUAAACCAUGCACCGAAGCUGCGGCAGCGACGCUGAUGCGUUGUUGGGUAGGGGAGCGUUCUGUAAGCCUGCGAAGGUGGCCUGUGAGGGUUGCUGGAGGUAUCAGAAGUGCGAAUGCUGACAUAAGUAACGAUAAAGCGGGUGAAAAGCCCGCUCGCCGGAAGACCAAGGGUUCCUGUCCAACGUUAAUCGGGGCAGGGUGAGUCGACCCCUAAGGCGAGGCCGAAAGGCGUAGUCGAUGGGAAACGGGUUAAUAUUCCCGUACUUGGUGUUACUGCGAAGGGGGGACGGAGAAGGCUAUGUUGGCCGGGCGACGGUUGUCCCGGUUUAAGCGUGUAGGUGUGUGUUCCAGGUAAAUCCGGUUCACUUUAACACUGAGGCGUGACGACGAGGCACUACGGUGCUGAAGCAACAAAUGCCCUGCUUCCAGGAAAAGCCUCUAAGCAUCAGGUAACAUCAAAUCGUACCCCAAACCGACACAGGUGGUCAGGUAGAGAAUACCAAGGCGCUUGAGAGAACUCGGGUGAAGGAACUAGGCAAAAUGGUGCCGUAACUUCGGGAGAAGGCACGCUGACACGUAGGUGAAGUGAUUUACUCACGGAGCUGAAGUCAGUCGAAGAUACCAGCUGGCUGCAACUGUUUAUUAAAAACACAGCACUGUGCAAACACGAAAGUGGACGUAUACGGUGUGACGCCUGCCCGGUGCCGGAAGGUUAAUUGAUGGGGUCAGCGCAAGCGAAGCUCCUGAUCGAAGCCCCGGUAAACGGCGGCCGUAACUAUAACGGUCCUAAGGUAGCGAAAUUCCUUGUCGGGUAAGUUCCGACCUGCACGAAUGGCGUAAUGAUGGCCAGGCUGUCUCCACCCGAGACUCAGUGAAAUUGAACUCGCUGUGAAGAUGCAGUGUACCCGCGGCAAGACGGAAAGACCCCGUGAACCUUUACUAUAGCUUGACACUGAACAUUGAGCCUUGAUGUGUAGGAUAGGUGGGAGGCUUUGAAGCGUGGACGCCAGUCUGCGUGGAGCCGACCUUGAAAUACCACCCUUUAAUGUUUGAUGUUCUAACGUGGACCCGUUACCCGGGUUGCGGACAGUGUCUGGUGGGUAGUUUGACUGGGGCGGUCUCCUCCUAAAGAGUAACGGAGGAGCACGAAGGUUGGCUAAUCCUGGUCGGACAUCAGGAGGUUAGUGCAAUGGCAUAAGCCAGCUUGACUGCGAGCGUGACGGCGCGAGCAGGUGCGAAAGCAGGUCAUAGUGAUCCGGUGGUUCUGAAUGGAAGGGCCAUCGCUCAACGGAUAAAAGGUACUCCGGGGAUAACAGGCUGAUACCGCCCAAGAGUUCAUAUCGACGGCGGUGUUUGGCACCUCGAUGUCGGCUCAUCACAUCCUGGGGCUGAAGUAGGUCCCAAGGGUAUGGCUGUUCGCCAUUUAAAGUGGUACGCGAGCUGGGUUUAGAACGUCGUGAGACAGUUCGGUCCCUAUCUGCCGUGGGCGCUGGAGAACUGAGGGGGGCUGCUCCUAGUACGAGAGGACCGGAGUGGACGCAUCACUGGUGUUCGGGUUGUCAUGCCAAUGGCACUGCCCGGUAGCUAAAUGCGGAAGAGAUAAGUGCUGAAAGCAUCUAAGCACGAAACUUGCCCCGA
rnacentral:rRNA from 2 species